rnacentral:misc_RNA from 1 species
GGAAAGAGAGGUGGACAGGGAUAGAAGAGCAGAAAAGGAAAGAUGUAGGAGCACUGAUAGAGAGGGUAAUAGGGAUAGAAGAAGAGAAAGGGAAAAAGAUAGGAGGAAGGAAAAGGAAGUAGAUUGGGAUGGGAGAAGGGAUAGGGACAGUGAUCGGAAUGAUGAUAAGGCUGAAUAUAGUGAUAGAAAUAGAGACAAGGAAAGGGUGAGAGAGAUGCA